rnacentral:rRNA from 1 species
CACGCCCUAAACGAUGAUCUCUCGGUUUAAGGAGUAUCGACCCUCUUUGAGCCUUAGCUAACGCGUUAAGAGAUCCGCCUGGGAAGUACGGCCGCAAGGCUAAAACUCAAAGGAAUAGACGGGGACUUGCACAAGCAGUGGAUUAUGUGGUUUAAUUCGAUGGUAAACGAAGAACCUUACCAGGGUUAGAAAUCCUAGUGAAAGCCUUUAGAAACAUUGGCCCUCGCAAGACUCUAGGACAGGUGA